rnacentral:rRNA from 1 species
UACGUAGGGGGCGAGCGUUGUCCGGAUUUAUUGGGCGUAAAGAGCUCGUAGGCGGUUCGAUAAGUCGGAUGUGAAAUCUCCACGCUCAACGUGGAGAGGCCAUUCGAUACUGUCGUGACUCGAGUCCGGUAGGGGAGUGUGGAAUUCCCGGUAUAGCGGUGAAAUGCGCAGAGAUCGGGAGGAACACCCGUAGCGAAGGCGGCACUCUGGGCCGGUACUGACGCUGAGGAGCGAAAGCGUGGGGAGCAAACAGG